ACUCAAAUGAAUUGACGGGGGCCCGCACAAGCGGUGGAGCAUGUGGUUUAAUUCGACGCAACGCGAAGAACCUUACCUGGGUUUGAACCGCCGAUGAAAGCCUCAGAGAUGAGGUCCUCCCGCAAGGGACGUCGGUAGAGGUGCUGCAUGGCUGUCGUCAGCUCGUGUCGUGAGAUGUUGGGUUAAGUCCCGCAACGAGCGCAACCCUCGCCUGUAGUUGCCAACGGGUCAUGCCGGGAACUCUACAGGGACUGCCCCGGAAAACGGGGAGGAAGGUGGGGAUGACGUCAAGUCCUCAUGGCCUUUAUGUCCAGGGCUACACACGUGCUACAAUGGGCGGUACAAAGGGAUGCAAUACCGCGAGGUGGAGCGAAUCCCAAAAAACCGUUCUCAGUUCGGAUUGUAGUCUGCAACUCGACUACAUGAAGUUGGAAUCGCUAGUAAUGGCGGAUCAGCAUGCCGCCGUGAAUACGUUCCCGGGCCUUGUACACACCGCCCGU
rnacentral:rRNA from 1 species